rnacentral:tRNA from 1 species
GGGGUUAUAGCUCAGUGGUAGAGCAUUUGACUGCAGGAGUUCAAGAUCAGCCUGGGAAACAUAGUAUAACUGACCCCA